rnacentral:piRNA from 1 species
UUAGCGACAGUUUUUUAAAGC